AGGGACUUAGGAUUAAUACAAACCGAAGGCCUUCAAAACCUUAAAAAAGAAUCAAACCUCUUAGUCCUUG
rnacentral:tRNA from 1 species